rnacentral:rRNA from 1 species
GACGUAGGGCGCGAGCGUUGUCCGGAUUUAUUGGGCGUAAAGAGCUCGUAGGCGGCUUGUCGCGUCGACCGUGAAAACUUGGGGCUCAACCCCAAGCCUGCGGCCGAUACGGGCAGGCUCGAGUUCGGUAGGGGAGACUGGAAUUCCUGGUGUAGCGGUGAAAUGCGCAGAUAUCAGGAGGAACACCGGUGGCGAAGGCGGGUCUCUGGGCCGAUACUGACGCUGAGGAGCGAAAGCGUGGGGAGCGAACAGG